rnacentral:rRNA from 1 species
CCUACGGGAGGCAGCAGUGAGGAAUAUUGGUCAAUGGACGCAAGUCUGAACCAGCCAUGCCGCGUGCAGGAAGACGGCUCUAUGAGUUGUAAACUGCUUUUGUACGAGGGCAAACGCAGAUACGUGUAUCUGUCUGAAAGUAUCGUACGAAUAAGGAUCAGCUAACUCCGUGCCAGCAGCCGCGGUAAUACGGAGGAUUCAAGCGUUAUCCGGAUUUAUUGGGUUUAAAGGGUGCGUAGGCGGUCGGAUAAGUUAGAGGUGAAAUCCCGAGGCUCAACUUCGGAAUUGCCUCUGAUACUGUUAGGCUAGAGAGUAGUAGCGGUAGGCGGAAUGUAUGGUGUAGCGGUGAAAUGCUUAGAGAUCAUACAGAACACCGAUUGCGAAGGCAGCUUACCGGGCUACUUCUGACGUUGAGGCACGAAAGCGUGGGGAGCAAACAGGAUUAGAUACCCUUGUAGUC